CGGCCGCGUCGACGAAGAACUGUUUGGGAAGGCAGACCAUAGAGGGUGAAAGUCCCGUAUUCGAAAUUCGACAAAGCAGGCGAGUAUCCUGAGUAGAACGGGGCACGUGAAACCCUGUUUGAAGCUGGGGGGACCACCCUCCAAGGCUAAAUACUACUUACUGACCGAUAGUGGACUAGUACCGUGAGGGAAAGGUGAAAAGAACCCCGAUGAGGGGAGUGAAAUAGAACUUGAAACCGCAUGCUUACAGACAGUCAGAGGGCUAUUGUAAAGCCUGAUGGCGUACCUUUUGCAUUAUGAUUCAGCGAGUUAUGGUAUGUGGCGAGGUUAAGCCGUUGCAGGUGUAGCCGUAGGGAAACCGAGUCUGAAUAGGGCGUUAGUCGCAUGCUGUAGACCCGAAACGGGAUGAGCUAUCCAUGGGCAGGUUGAAGCGAGGGUAAACUUCGUGGAGGACCGAACACUUGAAAGGUUGAAAACUUCUGUGAUGACCUGUGGAUAGGGGUNAAAGGCCAAUCAAAUUCCGUGAUAGCUGGUUCUCUCGAAAUGCAUUUAGGUGACCG
rnacentral:rRNA from 1 species